GGAGCAUUCUCACAGGGGUGAAGGUUUGGCGUAAGCCGGGCUGGACUGGUGAGAAAAGCAAAUGUAGGCAUAAGUAACGAUAAUGCGGGCGAGAAACCCGCACACCGAAAGACUAAGGUUUCCUCAGCUAUGCUAAUCAGCUGAGGGUUAGUCGGGACCUAAGGCGAACCCGAAAGGGACAGUCGAUGGCCAACGGGUUAAUAUUCCCGUACUUCUUAUAGUUGUGAUGGGGUGACGGAGUGAUGAAAGCAUCGCGAACUGACGGAAUAGUUCGUUGAAGUACCUAACUAUAGGGUUUGUAGGCAAAUCCGCAG
rnacentral:rRNA from 1 species